rnacentral:lncRNA from 1 species
UAACUACUCUGGGGUGGCAGGUUCCAGAGAAUGCAGUAGACCUUUUGCCACUCAUCUGUGUUUUACUUGAGACAUGUAAAUAUGAUAGGGAAGGAACUGAAUUUCUCCAUUCAUAUUUAUAACCAUUCUAGUUUUAUCUUCCUUGGCUUUAAGAGUGUGCCAUGGAAAGUGAUAAGAAAUGAACUUCUAGGCUAAGCAAAAAGAUGCUGGAGAUAUUUGAUACUCUCAUUUAAACUGGUGCUUUAUGUACAUGAGAUGUACUAAAAUAAGUAAUAUAGAAUUUUUCUUGCUAGGUAAAUCCAGUAAGCCAAUAAUUUUAAAGAUUCUUUAUCUGCAUCACUGCUGUUUGUUACUAUAAAUUAAAUGAACCUCAUAGAAAGGUUGAGGUGUAUACCUUUGUGAUUUUCUAAUGAGUUUUCCAUGGUGCUACAAAUAAUCCAGACUACCAGGUCUGGUAGAUAUUAAAGCUGGGUACUAAGAAAUGUUAUUUGCAUCCUCUCAGUUACUCCUGAAUAUUCUGAUUUCAUACGUACCCAGGGAGCAUGCUGUUUUGUCAAUCAAUAUAAAAUAUUUAUGAGGUCUCCCCCACCCCCAGGAGGUUAUAUGAUUGCUCUUCUCUUUAUAAUAAGAGAAACAAAUUCUUAUUGUGAAUCUUAACAUGCUUUUUAGCUGUGGCUAUGAUGGAUUUUAUUUUUUCCUAGGUCAAGCUGUGUAGAAGUCAUUUAUGUUAUUUAAAUGAUGUACUGUACUGCUGUUUACAUGGACGUUUUGUGCGGGUGCUUUGAAGUGCCUUGCAUCAGGGAUUAGGAGCAAUUAAGUUAUUUUU